rnacentral:rRNA from 1 species
AGUCGAGUGGCUCUGCGCCGAAAAUGUACCGGGGCUAAACAUAUUACCGAAACUGUGGAUUUAUGCGAUAGCAUAAGUGGUAGGGGAGCGUUCUAAGGGCGACGAAGAUAGAUCGAGAGGACUAUUGGAGCGCUUAGAAGUGAGAAUGCCGGUGUGAGUAACGUAAGGUAGGUGAGAAUCCUACCCACUUUCCCACUUAACAUAUAUUGGUCAAGUUCGUCUACCCUGGGUAAGUCAGGACCUAAGGCGAGGCUGAGAAGCGUAGUCGAUGGACAACAGGUUUAUAUUCCUGUACUAUUUAUAGGACUGAAGGAGUGACAAAGGAAGCUAGUAAGAGCCAUUUAAUGGAUUAUGGUCUAAGCACAAAGACUGAUACAUAGGAAAAUCCGUGAUAUCGAACGGUUGAAGUGUGAUGGCGUAGCAGUCUACGGACAGCGAAGUCUUAUGAGGCUAAACUUUUUAAAAAAGCUUCUAAAGAAAUGCUAUAAAUACCUGUACUAAGAACCAACGCAGGUGGUCAAGGAGAGAAUCCUAAGGUGAGCGAGAGAACUAUGGUUAAGGAACUCGGCACAAUGAUCCCGUAACUUCGGAAUAAGGGAAGGUCUUGAAAAAGACCCGCAGUGAAUAGGCCCAAGCGACUGUUUACCAAAAACACAGGUUUCUGCAAAAGCGUAAGCUGAAGUAUAGGAGCUGACGCCUGCCCAGUGCUGGAAGGUUAAGAUGAUUUGUAAGAUGGACGAAAGUCGAUAACAUCGAAGCAAUGAAUUGAAGCCCCAGUGAACGGCGGCGAUAACUAUAAUCGUCCAAAGGUAGCGAAAUUCCUUGUCAGGUAAGUUCUGACCCGCACGAAAGGCGUAACGAUCUGGGCGCUGUCUCAACAAUAGACUCGGUGAAAUUGUAGUACCGGUAAAGAUGCCGGUUACCCGCAGCAGGACGGAAAGACCCCGUGGAGCUUUACUGCAGCUUGAUAUUGGAUUUCGGCAUUGCAUGUACAGGAUAGGUGGGAGACUAAGAGGCAAGUACGCCAGUAUUUGCGGAGUCACCGUUGGGAUACCACCCUUGUAAUGUUGAGGUUCUAACCAUGUAGCGUGAACCGGUACUGGGACAGUGUCUGGCGGGCAGUUUGACUGGGGCGGUCGCCUCCUAAAGAGUAACGGAGGCGCCCAAAGGUUCCCUCAGUGCGGACGGAAAUCGCACGAAGAGUGUAAAGGCAGAAGGGAGCUUGACUGCGAGACAUACAGGUCGAGCAGGGACGAAAGUCGGGCUUAGUGAUCCGGUGGUUCCGAGUGGAAGGGCCAUCGCUCAACGGAUAAAAGCUACCCCGGGGAUAACAGGCUGAUACCCCCCAAGAGUCCACAUCGACGGGGGUGUUUGGCACCUCGAUGUCGGCUCGUCUCAUCCUGGGGCUGAAGUAGGUCCCAAGGGUUGGGCUGUUCGCCCAUUAAAGAGGUACGCGAGCUGGGUUCAGAACGUCGUGAGACAGUUCGGUCCCUAUCCGCUGUGGGCGUUGGAGAUUUGAGUGGAGCUGUUCUUAGUACGAGAGGACCGGGAUGGACAUACCUCUGGUGCACCAGUUGUACUGCCAAGUGCAUAGCUGGGUAGCCACGUAUGGACGGGAUAAGUGCUGAAAGCAUCUAAGUACGAAGCCCCCCACAAGAAGAGAUCUCCUCCAGAGAUGGU